rnacentral:rRNA from 1 species
UACGAAGGGGGCUAGCGUUGUUCGGAAUUACUGGGCGUAAAGCGCACGUAGGCGGGCGAUUAAGUCAGGGGUGAAAUCCCGGAGCUCAACUCCGGAACUGCCUUUGAUACUGGUCGUCUAGAGAUCGGAAGAGGUGAGUGGAAUUCCCAGUGUAGAGGUGAGAUUCGUAGAUAUUCGCAAGAACACCAGUGGCGAAGGCGGCUCACUGGCCCGAUACUGACGCUGAGGCACGAAAGCGUGGGGAGCAAACAGGG